rnacentral:ncRNA from 1 species
ACGGGCCUGCGCGGACGCCCGUUCAGACGGCUCUGCGUCCAAGUCCGC